rnacentral:rRNA from 1 species
AUCGAUAUGAAUUUAAUUUUGGUUCUGAUUGAACGUUUUUCAGUAGUUUUAAGACAUGCAAAUCGUUGUUCCUAACAGUUUAUCUUUAUGUUUAUAUAAAUUAAAAAAAAAAUAUAAAUUAAAGAUAAAAAAAUAAGAAUAAGGUGUAAAGGUGAGUAUUUUAAAUUAGAUACCUUAUAGACUCCUUAAUUAGGAGAUAAUUUUAUUUCAAAAAUCGUCCCCUCCUGCCUCCUGCCUACGGAGGCAGGAGGCACCCUCCUUCGGCUUCUCCGAAGGGAGACCUUUGUCCCUCCUUACCUUUUUUCAAAAAAAAAGGAGAGGAGGAGUGCGAAGCAACUCCUUCGGCAGCCGUCCGUGCGAAGCAGGAGAAGGGGAGAGGAUGAUUAGAGAUACUUAUUAGGGAACUAUCACAGAGGCACCAGCUAGUCUGUCCUCCUUAAAUUUUUUUCUAGACCUGCACUUGUUCUUUCACAUUUGCCCUACCUGCUUCUGCUUCUCCGAAGGACUCCUUUUAAGGAAAGGAGUCCUUCGGAGAAGCAGAGGUAGAGGGUAAAGGACGGGGCAAGAGUAAUAAGGAAAGUAAAAUAUAAAUUAGCUAUUUAUAAAAAAAGGGAAAUUUUCUGCUAUAAGAUUCGAUUUAUUUUGUUUAAAGGUAGUUGGUGGGGUAAAUGCCUACCAAGCCGACGAUCAAUAGCCAUGUUUGAUAGAGCAGAUGGCCACAUUGGGAAUGGAAAGCCCCAAGUAGUGAAAACUACCAGCAGUCAAGAAUAUUAGUCAAUGCUCGCAAGAGUGAACUAGCUAACUGAAAUCACAUGAUCCAAUGUUUAUGUUGGUUAUUGUGAUAACGUAAGGGAAAAAAAUGAUAUUACCUUACUAUUAGUGUUGUCCAAAACUGGUGCCAGAAGACUCGGUAAGGCCAGAGACGCGAACGUUAGUCGUCCUAAUCAGGCGUAAAGGGUGUGUAGGCUGCUUUCAAAGUCAUAUCUUUCAAAAGCUCUUAUAACGAAGAUUUGUUUAAAGGCCGUAGAUUUAAACAUCUCCAAUUCUAAGGUAAAGAUAGGGUGAAUAAAAGCUAGAAUCAAAACGAGGAUAAGCCAAAUAAUACUUAGAGUAGGGUUGAUAUCCGUAGAUGCUAAGUGGAAUACUAAAAGUGAAAACUAUUUAUCUAGGACUGAUUGACGCUGAGAAACGAAGGUGAGAAUAGGAAAUAGGAUUUGAUACCCAGAUACCUCUCACUGUCAACGAUGAAUGGUGGUUUGUUAGUUUAUAUAAGAACUAGUAACGAUGCUAACGCGAUAACCAUUCCGCCUUGCGAGUACGGUUGCAAAACUGAAACCAAAAAAAUUAGUCGGUCUCGAAGCAAACGAAGUGAAGCAUGUUAUUUAAUACGAGAACACGCGUAAAACCUUACCAGUUCUUGCAUAUCCAAUCUUUAAUGUUAGGUGGUUCUAAAUGUCAAUUUAGUCCUAUUUAAGGUUAAAGAUUGAGUAGUUUCUUUUGCCUCCCCUUGCCUCCGGGUAAAAAAAGGCCAAGAAACUCGUUUACAGGUGUUGCAUGGCUGUCGUAAGUCCGUGCCGUGAGAAGUGAGGUUAACUCCACUAACGGACGAAAUCCCUGUUGUUAAUUUAUACUUAACAAUUAUUGAAUUUGACAAUUUUUCAUUUGGGGCUAAGACAAGCCGUUAUGGCCCUCAUGAACUGGGCUAUAGACGUGCCACGAAAACUUUUACAAAGUGACGCCAAAACCUAACCUCUAUACUAAUGCAAUAUUUUAGUUAAUAUUUAAGAUAGACUUUAAAUAAUAGGGUUUUAAGGAAUAGCUAAUCAUUAAAGAAAGUUAAAUAACCAAAUAUAUGGACGGAUUGCCGCCUGAAAUUCGGCGACAUGAAGAAGGAAUUUCGAGUAAUCGUUGAUCACUAGCGCAACGGUGAAGAAUGCAUUCGGGAUGAACUAACUGUCUGUCGCUGGGAAGAAGCUUGAAUUGGGGGAAACUGCCGCGAAGUUAUUAUUUUUUUAAGGCAAACCUAAUUUAAUAAUAUCAGCUAUUAUUUAUUAUUAAAUAAAUUAAAUUAAAUAUUUUUUAAUUUAAGGGCAGUUUUAUGCUAAGCUUUAAUUUUAGAAGUAAUUCUGGUUUAAAGUAUUAGUCAUUUAAAUAUUAAAAAAAAAACACCUUUCUUAAGAUAAUUAGUUUCAGUUAACCCUUUUAAGUAACAUCUCAAAAGUCAUAGCAAGGUAGCUGUACUGGAAAGUGCCGCUGGAAAAUAAAUAUU